GACCUCCCCGUCUCCUCCGCGUCGGCGCACCUACAGCAGUACAGCUCAUCACCAUGGCAGCGCUGCUACAUCACCACACCCCCCAUCUAGUGCUAGUAUGCGGGAAACCAACAAUGUGCGGCGUUGAACUCCUCCAGUGGGAUUUUUUGCUUCAGUCGGCAAGAUGGUGGUUGGCGGCAAUGGCGGUGGCGGAGAAUAAUAAGGAGAUGAUAGUGCUCGGCGGCGACGGCAUGGCCGCUAUGAAUUGUUUUUGCUGGAAUCAACCUUUGCUCUUGCUACAUGGGAGAAGACUAUGUGAUGGGAAUCAGCUGUAUCCAGUGAAAUUUUUUGCUACAUUUGUCAUCAAUUUUUCUUGGAACCAGCACGAGCGUCGGCUAUGACCGUCGCGCGGCGGAGCUACAACUAUGAGAAAUGCUACAACCGAUGCUUCAAUUUGCUAUUGUUGGCGUUUUUUUGCCGGAACCAGUCGAAAGUAGGCGCGGAGGAGCUGCAUCCAACGA